rnacentral:rRNA from 1 species
GUGCACCAGUCGAGAAUUUUUCUCAAUGGGCGAGAGCCUGAAGGAGCGACGCCGCGUGGAGGAUGAAGGCUUUCGGGUCGUAAACUCCUGUCAUUUGAGAACAAGUGUAGCCAAAUAACUACUGGCUACUUGAUAGUAUCAGAAGAGGAAGGGACGGCUAACUCUGUGCCAGCAGCCGCGGUAAUACAGAGGUCCCAAGCGUUGUUCGGAUUCAUUGGGCGUAAAGGGUGCGUAGGUGGCGCCGUAAGUGGGGUGUGAAAUUUCGGAGCUUAACUCCGAAACUGCAUUCCAUACUGCGGUGCUUGAGGACUGGAGAGGAGACUGGAAUUCAUGGUGUAGCAGUGAAAUGCGUAGAGAUCAUGAGGAAGACCAGUGGCGAAGGCGGGUCUCUGGACAGUUCCUGACACUGAGGCACGAAGGCUAGGGGAGCGAACGGGAUUAGAUA